UGCUGGUGGCGCAGCAACAAAACCACUGGCAAGAAAUGACUGAUAGCAAUACAGUCUUACAGCUGAGCUGCACAGCUGAGUGAUCUGGUGACUUUCUCCUGCAUUUGUUUUUAUUUAAGACAGAGUCCUGAUCAAGAUCCUUCUGUGUGGCUUUCCGGACAUUGACAGCUUUAAAUGAACCCAGCUUGGCACUUUUCUUUUUGAUGCCAUCAAGCAGCAGUUGGAAAAACCUGUCUCAAGAUGAGGACAAUACAAAUCUUCAGUAGGCAAGAUGCUGCCAGAUCUGCUGAUUUCUUCAGUAAUUUCUAUUUUUGUGCGUUUUGUAAGAUUAUGGCUCUUUGCUCCCUGUAACCCUUAACACCCUUGUUCAUGAAAAAUCUACCUCUGAAUUAAUUCAAGGUAGUGACCCAGCCAAGACUCUUUUCUGGAGAAGAGAAUACCACAGACUAAAAUAGACAGAAAAUCUCUCAUCAUCAUCUGAAGAGCAAGACCUUUCAUCCUAAAACUGUGCUUCUUAUUUCUAGUUUUUCCAACAACAGGAAGCAGGUUGUCAGAAUGCACCCUGUUAAGUACUCUGAAGAUGUUAAAUGUUUAAGUAGAUCACAUCUCAUUUUUCCAAAUUCCAAUCUGUAAUGAUCCAGCCUCAGACAACUCUCUGUGUGGAGUUUGCACAUUCCCCUCGUGUCUGCGUGGGUUUCCUCCGGGUGCUCCGGUUUCCUCCCACAAUCCAAAAAUGUGCAGGUCAGGUGAAUUGGCCAUGCUAAAUUGCCCAUAGUGUUAGGUAUAGGGGUAAAUGUAAGGGAAUGGGUCUGGGUGGGUUGCGCUUCGGCAGGUCGGUGUGGACUUGUUGGGCCGAAAGGCCUGUUUCCAUACUGUAAGAAAUCUAAUCUAAAACCUGAUCACCCUUUCUUUAUAAGAUAAGCUCUUCAUCUCAGGCAUGAAUUAAUGUAGAGAAGAAUUACCUCUGAAAAUCAGAUUGCCCACCUCUUAGAGAGAAGAGGGCGGCUUCAAAAGUUAAGAUGUUACAAUAAUAAUAGACAGAUCCAGGCAAAUGAUACUUUGAUAGACCUGUUUACCCGAGAUGAAAAGAAGUGAGAUUUAACUAGAGCUACCAGUGCAGAUGGCAAAUUUAGCCAGAAGCAAUGUUUCAGAGAAAAUUAUG